rnacentral:tRNA from 1 species
GGUAGCUCAACUGGAUAGAGUAGUGGCCUUCGAAGCCAACGGUUGCGGGUUCGAGUCCCUCCCGGG